CCUACGGGUGGCAGCAGUCGAGAAGCAUUCACAAUGGGGGAAACCCUGAUGGGGCGACGCCGCGUGGGGGAAUGAAGGUCUUCGGAUUGUAAACCCCUGUCAUGUGGGAGCAAAUGAAAAAGAUAGUACCACAAGAGGAAGAGACGGCUAACGCUGGGCCAGCAGCCGCGGUAAUACAGAGGUCGCAAGCGUUGUUCGGAACCACUGGGCGUAAAGCGUGCGGAGGCUGUUUCGUAAGUCGUGUGUGAAAGGCGCGGGCUCCACCCGCGGACGGCACCUGAUACGGCGAGACUAGAGUAAUGGCGGGGGCACCGUCCUUCUCGUUGUCGCCGUGCACUGCGUAGAUCUCGAGAG
rnacentral:rRNA from 1 species